GUGCCAGCAGCCGCGGUAAGACGUAGGGGGCGAGCGUUACCCGGAAUUACUGGGCGUAAAGGGGGCGUAGGCGGUAAAUCAAGUCAUCUGUGAAAACCUAUUGCUCAACGAUAGGCUAGCGGAUGAAACUGAUAUACUUGAGGACACCAGAGGUAGACGGAAUUACCCGAGUAGGGGUGAAAUCCGCAGAUACGGGUAGGAACGCCGGUGGAGAAGUCGGUCUACUGGGGUGUACCAGACGCUGAGGCCCGAAAGCUAGGGGAGCAAACCGGAUUAGAUACCCGGGUAGUCCUAGCCGUAAACGAUGCUCACUAGGUGUAGGGAGUGAUAAACUCUCUGUGCUGAAGCGAACGCGCUAAGUGAGCCGCCUGGGGAGUACGUCCGCAAGGAUGAAACUUAAAUAAAUUGGCGG
rnacentral:rRNA from 1 species